UCAUCCCCCCUGGAAGUGAUCAAUCCUAAGAAAUCUGCUCAGGUGACAGCUAAUAUGUACAGUGGUGAAAUCAACGGAAUAACCAGCAGGAAUGCCACGAUGUUCUGCAAGAAGCUUUGGCUUCAGUUCAAGUAAUAUAUCGGAAGGAUAUGAGAUCAUAUGUAAAAGAUAAUAAAACAAGACAUGACAUAACUCUGAUG
rnacentral:lncRNA from 1 species